CAGUCGCCGCGGUAAUACGAAGGGUGCAAGCGUUAAUCGGAAUUACUGGGCGUAAAGCGUGCGCAGGCGGUUUGUUAAGACAGAUGUGAAAUCCCCGGGCUCAACCUGGGAACUGCAUUUGUGACUGGCAGGCUAGAGUAUGGCAGAGGGGGGUGGAAUUCCGCGUGUAGCAGUGAAAUGCGUAGAUAUGCGGAGGAACACCGAUGGCGAAGGCAGCCCCCUGGGCCAAUACUGACGCUCAUGCACGAAAGCGUGGGGAGCAAACAGGAUUAGAUACCCGCGUAGUCCCUGUCUCUUAUAC
rnacentral:rRNA from 1 species